GACGAACGCUGGCGGCGUGCCUAAUACAUGCAAGUCGAGCGGGGAUUAUGCUUGAUCGCUUCGGUGAGACGGCAUAUAUCCUAGCGGCGGACGGGUGAGUAACGCGUGGGUAAUCUACCUCGUAGUUCGGGAUAACAGGCCGAAAGGCUUGCUAAUACCGGAUGAGUUCAUGCUUAUGCAUAUAGGCAUGAAGAAAGGGCUAGCCCGCUAUGAGAUGAGCCCGCGUCCCAUUAGCUUGUUGGUGGGGUAAUGGCCUACCAAGGCAACGAUGGGUAGCCGGCCUGAGAGGGUGUACGGCCACACUGGGACUGAGACACGGCCCAGACUCCUACGGGGGGCAGCAGUAGGGAAUUUUCGGCAAUGGGCGAAAGCCUGACCGAGCGACGCCGCGUGAGGGACGAAGGCCUUCGGUUGUAAACCUCUGUCUGGGGGAGUGAGAACGGACGGUACCCCGGAGGAAGCCCGGCUAACUACGUG
rnacentral:rRNA from 1 species